GACGAACGCUGGCGGCGUGCUUAACACAUGCAAGUCGAAUGGAAAGGCCCUGCUUUUGUGGGGUGCUCGAGUGGCGAACGGGUGAGUAACACGUGAGUAACCUGCCCUUGACUUUGGGAUAACUUCAGGAAACUGGGGCUAAUACCGGAUAGGAGCUCCUGCUGCAUGGUGGGGGUUGGAAAGUUUCGGCGGUUGGGGAUGGACUCGCGGCUUAUCAGCUUGUUGGUGGGGUAGUGGCUUACCAAGGCUUUGACGGGUAGCCGGCCUGAGAGGGUGACCGGCCACAUUGGGACUGAGAUACGGCCCAGACUCCUACGGGAGGCAGCGGUGGGGAAUAUUGCACAAUGGGCGGAAGCCUGAUGCAGCAACGCCGCGUGCGGGAUGACGGCCUUCGGGUUGUAAACCGCUUUCGCCUGUGACGAAGCGUGAGUGACGGUAAUGGGUAAAGAAGCACCGGCUAACUACGUG
rnacentral:rRNA from 1 species